CAAUAGCGUAUAUUAAAGUUGUUGCGGUUAAAAUGCUCGUAGUUGGAUUUCUGCUGAGGACGACCGGUCCGCCCUCUGGGUGAGUAUCUGGCUCGGCCUGGGCAUCUUCUUGGAGAACGUAGCUGCACUUGACUGUGUGGUGCGGUAUCCAAGACCUUUACUUUGAGGAAAUUAGAGUGUUUCAAGCAGGCACACGCCUUGAAUACAUUAGCAUGGAAUAAUAAGAUAGGACCUUGGUUCUAUUUUGUUGGUUUCUAGAGCUGAGGUAAUGAUUAAUAGGGAUAGUUGGGGGCAUUCGUAUUUAACUGUCAGAGGUGAAAUUCUUGAAUUUGUUAAAGACGGACUACUGCGAAAGCAUUUGCCAAGGAUGUUUUCAUUGA
rnacentral:rRNA from 1 species